UGCAUUUUUAAAAUGAAAACGUGGUCUAGAAAUAGCUGAAUAAAGAAAUGAAAAAAAUCAUUCAAUGACACUACUCUAAUUUUAUUGAAUAACGUGUAUCUGUGUGUGUGUGUGUGUGUGUGUGUGUGUGCAUGUGCAUGCAUGCAU